AUUGAACGCUGGCGGCAGGCCUAACACAUGCAAGUCGAACGAGUGGCGGACGGGUGAGUAAUGUCUGGGACACUGCCCGAUGGAGGGGGAUAACUACUGGAAACGGUAGCUAAUACCGCCUACCAUCGGAUGUGCCCAGAUGGGAUUAGCUAGUAGGUGGGGUAAUGGAUCACCUAGGCGACGAACCCUAGCUGGUCUGCUAGAAUGACCAGCCACAUUGGAAAUGUGACAUGGUCCAGACUCCUACGGGAGGCACCAGUGGGGAAUAUUGCGCAAUGGGCGCAAGCCUGAUGCAGCCAUGCCGCGUGUAUGAAGAAGCCCUUCGGGUUGUAAAGUACUUUCAGCGAGGAGGCUUUUUCCGCAGAAGAAGCACCGGCUAACUCCGUGCCAGCAGCCGCGGAAAUAC
rnacentral:rRNA from 1 species